rnacentral:rRNA from 1 species
GACGAACGCUGGCGGCGUGCUUAACACAUGCAAGUCGAACGGAAAGGCCCUGCUUUUGUGGGGUGCUCGAGUGGCGAACGGGUGAGUAACACGUGAGUAACCUGCCCUUGACUUUGGGAUAACUUCAGGAAACUGGGCUAAUACCGGAUAGGAGCUCCUGCUGCAUGGUGGGGGUUGGAAAGUUUCGGCGGUUGGGGAUGGACUCGCGGCUUAUCAGCUUGUUGGUGGGGUAGUGGCUUACCAAGGCUUUGACGGGUAGCCGGCCUGAGAGGGUGACCGGCCACAUUGGGACUGAGAUACGGCCCAGACUCCUACGGGAGGCAGCAGUGGGGAAUAUUGCACAAUGGGCGGAAGCCUGAUGCAGCAACGCCGCGUGCGGGAUGACGGCCUUCGGGUUGUAAACCGCUUCCGCCUGUGACGAAGCGUGAGUGACGGUAAUGGGUAAAGAAGCACCGGCUAACUACGUG